CUGGAGGCUGGAGCUAGCGAUGGCAGCGAGGUGCCUUACGAGAUUCUCGACACCGUCACCGUGAACGAGCGAAUGGAGAGGGCGUCUGAGGCGCUGCUGCCACUGCACCGCCACAUGCGCCUGCAGCAUAGCGAGAUGCAGUCUGCGGAAGAGGUCGAUGGCGGCUAUGUGAGCCUUGUCUCCCGUCUGCUAAACGAACACGGCGUGUGCCCUUUGGUGGCGACGCAGUCCCUGCCCAAGCAGGCGCUGUGGAGGCAACUGCUGGCCGCUGACGCUGGACCGUGGCCCUCUCGAGGCCGAGGCGCUGGGCUCGCACUAACACUAUGACGCAGAGGUGUGGAAGCACGUUCUGAUCCCCAAUUUCACGAUGGCCGAUGCAAGUCGUCGAGGGCCUAUCGAACUGCGGGAUUUAGGCGUACGGGCUCAUGCGUGGCCACCACCUUGGCUAUGGCACCCCGCGGCUCGGUCGCUGCCUUGACCGUGUCUGUUUCAGCACUGCCGACCUGGUGCAACAGCGCAAGGGCAAGAAAGCGGUUCAGGUGCUUAUCUACGUGGUCAUGUGCAGCAUGGCCGAAGACCUUUUCGGACUCUUCUAUCGAACACCCGCGCAUAGCAGCUAUGAAGCUGCUCAGGAGGGGUUGCUGCGGCCGCAGUGGCAUGGGAGGGGCGCUGCUGGCGCGGCGGUCGGCGCAGCGGAAGCAGCGCUUUAUGAACUGCCUCCAAAGCGCACCUGCCCGGCGACCUGCACAGCGUCAGCUUCUUCGCUGACGCGCAUCAGGUAAAGGCGAUGGAUGCCUAGUUCGGUCUCUAAAGCCCGAUGGAUUUCGACCUUGACACGUUGGCGGCAACCUCCUUAUCGACUGCGUAGCCCUACCAGCCCUGCUGGAGCAGCGGCAUCUCUAAGAGGCCGCUCUGGUGGAAGCAGAAGUGUCGCAAGUGGCAGUGCACUUUCGCAUCGGCUACGUGACCAACUGUGCACUGCUUUGCUGAAAGUGAAGGGAUGAGCGGAAGCGGACGCGAGGCACUCUCAUCGACGAGCUUCACACACCGCCGGAGGUGAAACUCAUAGCACUUGGCACGCCUUUACGUGAUUGGAAGCGAACCGAGCCAGUGGAAGAGAGUGUGCACACCUGUGCAAUGAGUGGACUGGAUAUCGCACGCGUGUAUAUUUCGCAACGAUUGCCUCAGGCGCUUGUUGCAGCUCUUCUCUUCUCUUUGCGUAGAAUGCGUCUGCCACAACGUUCGGGUAUCUUUUCGGGCUCGGUGCCUUCGCCUCGUUGCGCACCUUACGAAGUUGCAGUUGUCACUGGAUGCGUAUGCUGGUGCAUGAUUGCGCGUUCGGGGGCGGGGGAGGGGCGGCGACUCCACGCCUUGUAGGCUCUCAUCUCCUGCCGAUAGGACGAGGCGAUGAUGGCGAUGGAAGCUGCAAGACGCGAAGAGGAGCAAAACAAAAUGCACCUGCCUCCAUCU